CGAACGAACUCUGGUAUUGAUUGGUGCUUGCAUCAUGAUUUACAUUUGAGUGAGUGGCGAACUGGUGAGUAACACGUGGGAAACCUGCCCAGAAGUGGGGGAUAACACCUGGAAACAGAUGCUAAUACCGCAUAACAACUUGGACCGCAUGGUCCGAGUUUGAAAGAUGGCUUCGGCUAUCACUUUUGGAUGGUCCCGCGGCGUAUUAGCUAGAUGGUGAGGUAACGGCUCACCAUGGCAAUGAUACGUAGCCGACCUGAGAGGGUAAUCGGCCACAUUGGGACUGAGACACGGCCCAAACUCCUACGGGAGGCAGCAGUAGGGAAUCUUCCACAAUGGACGAAAGUCUGAUGGAGCAACGCCGCGUGAGUGAAGAAGGGUUUCGGCUCGUAAAACUCUGUUGUUAAAGAAGAACAUAUCUGAGAGUAACUGUUCAGGUAUUGACGGUAUUUAACCAGAAAGCCACGGCUAACUACGUGCCAGCAGCCGCGGUAAUACGUAGGUGGCAAGCGUUGUCCGGAUUUAUUGGGCGUAAAGCGAGCGCAGGCGGUUUUUUAAGUCUGAUGUGAAAGCCUUCGGCUCAACCGAAGAAGUGCAUCGGAAACUGGGAAACUUGAGUGCAGAAGAGGACAGUGGAACUCCAUGUGUAGCGGUGAAAUGCGUAGAUAUAUGGAAGAACACCAGUGGCGAAGGCGGCUGUCUGGUCUGUAACUGACGCUGAGGCUCGAAAGUAUGGGUAGCAAACAGGAUUAGAUACCCUGGUAGUCCAUACCGUAAACGAUGAAUGCUAAGUGUUGGAGGGUUUCCGCCCUUCAGUGCUGCAGCUAACGCAUUAAGCAUUCCGCCUGGGGAGUACGGCCGCAAGGCUGAAACUCAAAGGAAUUGACGGGGGCCCGCACAAGCGGUGGAGCAUGUGGUUUAAUUCGAAGCUACGCGAAGAACCUUACCAGGUCUUGACAUACUAUGCAAAUCUAAGAGAUUAGACGUUCCCUUCGGGGACAUGGAUACAGGUGGUGCAUGGUUGUCGUCAGCUCGUGUCGUGAGAUGUUGGGUUAAGUCCCGCAACGAGCGCAACCCUUAUUAUCAGUUGCCAGCAUUAAGUUGGGCACUCUGGUGAGACUGCCGGUGACAAACCGGAGGAAGGUGGGGAUGACGUCAAAUCAUCAUGCCCCUUAUGACCUGGGCUACACACGUGCUACAAUGGAUGGUACAACGAGUUGCGAACUCGCGAGAGUAAGCUAAUCUCUUAAAGCCAUUCUCAGUUCGGAUUGUAGGCUGCAACUCGCCUACAUGAAGUCGGAAUCGCUAGUAAUCGCGGAUCAGCAUGCCGCGGUGAAUACGUUCCCGGGCCUUGUACACACCGCCCGUCACACCAUGAGAGUUUGUAACACCCAAAGUCGGUGGGGUAACCUUUUAGGA
rnacentral:rRNA from 1 species